UGCCCCUAUUGCUUCAUGAUCAAGAAUCAAAACUUGGGGUGCCCAUCCUCUGAUAAUUAGUCCCACGCCUUCCAUUCUUUCCUCAAAUCCUUCAGGUAACCAAUCUUCCUUGUCUUCUUGACCCUUUUUGUUUCUUCUAACUACCCAGAUAAACUGCUGACCAGAAGCUUCGAGACCUGCUGCAAUCUCCUUAAGCUGAGAGUCACUGAAGUUGGUCGUGCUUCCAAAGCAAAUAUAAACAACUGAAUUUGGUUUCUUUGAGUCGAGCCACUUCAAACACUCAUGGUGAUCAAUUGAGGUUUCUUUUCCUCUUCCUGCUUUAUCUUCAGUGUCUCUAUUGCAUAGUGAAACCGGGCCUACAUUCCAAGCCCUUCUGCCCAAGACCUUCUUGUAGUAAUCAGCGUAAGCUGGCUCAAGCUCAUAAAAGCUGUUGACAACAACACCAAAGCUCCUCAAUUCUGCUUCUUUAGAUGCUUUCAAGAACUUGCUAAAGUCAUUUUCAACAUUUUCUCUUACAUCAUCUGGCAGUUGCUUCUUUGUCAACUUUAUAUCACCAGGAAGAUCAGGCACCACGAAUGGUUCGGAAUCUGAUGAAACUUUCUUGUGUGGCUCAUAAAGCCUCACACAUUCUGAAGCACUUAAAGCAAAGUUACUAGU
rnacentral:lncRNA from 1 species